rnacentral:rRNA from 1 species
CCUACGGGCGGCUGCAGUGGGGAAUAUUGCACAAUGGGCGCAAGCCUGAUGCAGCCAUGCCGCGUGUGUGAAGAAGGCCUUCGGGUUGUAAAGCACUUUCAGCGGGGAGGAAGGCGGUGAGGUUAAUAACCUCAUCGAUUGACGUUACCCGCAGAAGAAGCACCGGCUAACUCCGUGCUAGCAGCCGCGGUAAUACGGAGGGUGCAAGCGUUAAUCGGAAUUACUGGGCGUAAAGCGCACGCAGGCGGUCUGUCAAGUCGGAUGUGAAAUCCCCGGGCUCAACCUGGGAACUGCAUUCGAAACUGGCAGGCUAGAGUCUUGUAGAGGGGGGUAGAAUUCCAGGUGUAGCGGUGAAAUGCGUAGAGAUCUGGAGGAAUACCGGUAGCGAAGGCGGCCCCCUGGACAAAGACUGACGCUCAGGUGCGAAAGCGUGGGGAGCAAACAGGAUUAGAUACCCCAGUAGUC